CGGACGGGUGAGUAACACGUGAGCAACCUGCCUUUCAGAGGGGGAUAACGUUUGGAAACGAACGCUAAUACCGCAUAACAUACCGGGACCGCAUGAUUCUGGUAUCAAAGGAGCAAUCCGCUGAAAGAUGGGCUCGCGUCCGAUUAGCUAGUUGGCGGGGUAACGGCCCACCAAGGCGACGAUCGGUAGCCGGACUGAGAGGUUGAUCGGCCACAUUGGGACUGAGACACGGCCCAG
rnacentral:rRNA from 1 species